CUCGGAACACCUAGAAUUACAAGUGACUAGGAGAGCUUAACUGAGCUCACAACCUCGUUCUCUUCUGUGAUCUAUAAAUAUAGAACUCUACUCACCAACUAUGUUCUCUUUUAUGUCGGCAUACCCCCAGCCCCUCAGGAUCUACGCUCAGAGGAAAAGAGAACUGGAGGCCAACUCAGCAGCCAGCCACUCAGACACUGUGAAGAUCUGCAACUGUCCAUCCUUGACUGUUUAACCCCCCAUCUCUACUUAAAACCACACAGCCACAUAUUGUCACAGUAAAACGCUUACUGAAAGGAAUUAAAAAUGCUAACAGAAGUCCGUAACAAUAAAGAGAAAAGAAGGAAAAGGGAGAGCAAAUCCCAGCCACCUCAGAGUUCCAGCACUCAAGAAAAGGGCCCUGAGUUGCAUACGAGAAAGCAGGGUAAUAGAUGUGCUGUGCCCUCAGGGUGCCUCCCACCCACAGACUUCAGAGGAUGCCUCCAACACUGAGCCACAGACAACAUGAAUGAAGCACAACCAUGUUCAAGCAGAUCACAGGUCCAUCUACAUGGGUUUUAGAAAAAUAUUUGAGGAAGAAACCAUAGUGACUCUGGAUGACAUGAAAAGUAAGCGAAGCCUGUGACCCAUGGGUCAAGUCAGUUGCCUGCUUCUGUAAAUAAAAUUUUGUUGAACACAGCCA
rnacentral:lncRNA from 1 species